rnacentral:tRNA from 1 species
UCUAAUAUGGCAGAAUAGUGCCUUAGACUUAAACUCUAAAUAUAAAAUUUCUAAUUUAAAUUUUUAUUAGAA